rnacentral:rRNA from 1 species
AACGAACGCUGGCGGCAGGCUUAACACAUGCAAGUCGAGCGCCCCGCAAGGGGAGCGGCAGACGGGUGAGUAACGCGUGGGAAUCUACCGUGCCCUACGGAAUAGCUCCGGGAAACUGGAAUUAAUACCGUAUACGCCCUACGGGGGAAAGAUUUAUCGGGGUAUGAUGAGCCCGCGUUGGAUUAGCUAGUUGGUGGGGUAAAGGCCUACCAAGGCGACGAUCCAUAGCUGGUCUGAGAGGAUGAUCAGCCACAUUGUGACGGAGACACGGCCCAAACUCCUACGGGAGGCAGCAGUGGGGAAUAUUGGACAAUGGGCGCAAGCCUAAUCCAGCCAUGCCGCGUGAGUGAUGAAGGUCUUAGGAUUGUAAAGCUCUUUCACCGGUGAAGAUAAUGACGGUAACCGGAGAAGAAGCCCCGGCUAACUUCGUGCCAGCCGCCGCAGUAA